AAGUCGUAACAAGGUUUCCGUAGGUGAACCUGCGGAAGGAUCAUUAUUGAAGCUUGAAUCGUAGCAUUGAGAACUGUUGCUGACCUGUGAAAGGGUAUGUGCACGUUCGUUGUGUUGCGUUUUAUUCUUUUCCCCCUGUGCACGUUUGUAGACUUGGUUAGUUGUUCGCUGUUGAGUGGUUAGAAGGGUUGCUUUCUAGCUCCCUUUGUUUUCACUCUGAAGCGGUUAGAAGGGUUGCUCUUGAGCUCCCUUUGUCUACCAAGUCUAUGUCUAUAAUCUCUUGUAUGUCUAGAAUGUUUUGUUUAUGGGACGCAAGUCCUUUAAAUUUUAUACAACUUUCAACAACGGAUCUCUUGGCUCUC
rnacentral:misc_RNA from 1 species